UUUAGUCAUCGGAAUCACAAUGUGUCUACUAAUGUUGUAUAACUUGUUAGUAGGUUAUACAACUUUGUGAACCAACUCUAUAUAGGAAGCAAAAUUAUCAAAAAUCACGUGAAAUAAGAUGUGUUCAGAAUGGUGAAAUACGGCUAUGGUUCAAAAAUCACGUAAAUCGGGUAAUGUCUCGAUGCCGAUAGUAGCGGUCAACCCUAUUUACCGUUAUUAUCCCCUAUGGGGAGCCCUAUCGUCGGAAGGCAAAUGUCUCAAAAUUUUUAUAUAGGCGGUUGCGUCUCAUCUACGUGAAAGUUUUUCGUGUGAAAGGUUUGACCAAACUACGUAAUAUAGAGGGAGAUAUGAGCGUUUUCGUAAAUUUAUAGACUUUAGCCGACGAGAUAUUAAAAAAGUUGUCGGUUAAGGUCAAAAAUUUUUGGACGGUAAACCAAAUUUGGAGGAAAAUUUUCAAAGGACUUUAGCCGACGAAAAUAUAUGAAAAGUUGUCGGCUAAAGUCGAAAAAUUUUCAAAAUUUUUUGGCGGUCAACCAAAAUUUUCAAAAUUUUAAAAAGUUUCAAAAGAGUUUAGCCGACGAAAAUAAAGAAUUUUGUCGGCUAAAGUUCUUUAUAUAGGAGUUAGUUUUACCGAAGGUGGAUGGUAAGAAGUCUAUUUCGCCUGCCAGAUUUUUUUCUCGGCCUAGCUCCGCCGUCAAGCCAUCGAAGACCGCCACACUUGUCCCAAAAGCUUCGCCGUCGUCUCUACUUAACUGCUGGACAGGUGGUGCAUCGAGUGGCGCCGCCGUGAGAGAUAAAUUGAGCUCCAAAACUCCGCCGGUUCGGAUUCGGUGUAGAUCGAAUUUCUUCUUCCUCAGGUCACCAUUUGGUGAGUUCUAUAUAUAGAUAAGUUGAGUUUGAUUAGUACUACAUUCCCCUAGAAUUUGGUAGCUCGAUUCGGUGUGUGUGAGGAGAAUCGAAGAUUUGAAGUUUUUAGGGUUUAAAAUUGGGGAUUUUUAUAUUUUGAUUCGAUUGACCUGUUUAGGCUUAGAAUUGGGCUUCGACUUCUUUUAGAAAGUUGUUCGAAAUAUUGAGAGGAAGAUUCUGUCAAAUUUUGGUGGUGAUUGGAGGUAGCCGAAAGUUUCUGCAGUUUUUUUUUUCAAAAACCAGCAACUUUAGCCGACGAUAUUUAAAGGUUUAGCCGACGAUAUUUAAAGGUUUAUUCGUCGGCUAUAGUAUUUUAAAAUUUUUUUAUAAGGUUUAGCCGACGAAUUAUGGCAUAUUUCGUCGGCUAUAGUUAUUUUUAAAAUUUUUUUUGUAAGGUUUAGCCGACGAAACAGACUAUAUUUCGUCGGCUAUAGUUAUUUUUAAAAUUUUUUUAUAAGGUUUAGCCGACGAAAUAGACUAUAUUUCGUCGGCUCUAGUUAUUUUUUUAAUUUUUUUAUAAGGUUUAGCCGACGAAACAUACUAUAUUUCGUCGGCUAUAGUCUGGGAAAAAAUUUUUUAUUACAGACUUUAGUCGACGAAUAUCUUAAUUGUUUCGUCGGCUAAAGUUUCGGAAAAAAACCGACGACAUGUUUUUCGUCGGCUAAACUGCGGGACAUAGCCGAUGAAAUUUUUUUUUUCGUCGGCUAAAGUCAUCACAGACGACCUUUUCCCGACGAAAUCUUAGCCAACGAUGGCUCGUCGGCUAAGAUCUUAGCCGACGAAUUAAGCUAACAAGCCGACGAAAAAUUUUCGUCGGCUAAAUUGCUUGUCCUGGUAGUGGGGCCCAAUCCCGGCCAUCCUGCAUCAGUUUCUUUCUUCUAGAAAUCGUACAGUUACAUUUGAAAUUUCAUCUAGGUGUCUUCAUAAGAUUUGUAGUAGACAUCUUAAUGUCCAUUCCAGAAUUUGAAUCACUUGAAAAUGAUUU
rnacentral:lncRNA from 1 species